rnacentral:misc_RNA from 2 species
GAGUUCGCGGGAGAGUAAGUUAUUGCCAGGGUUUUUAUUUUGUACUUUAAACCUUAAAUUUAUUUUUUAUAUUUUUUUAAUGUUCAUGUUUUUGAAUGUUUUAUUCAAAUAAUGUAAAAAAUAAAAUAGAUAUUGACAUGGAUUGAACAAAAGAUAUAUAUUAUUUUAUGUUGCAUAAACAAAUUGGCAAAAUAGAGAUGGAAGAUAAAAAUAUGGUCAAAGUAAUAAGAGUCUAUGGUGAAUGCC